AAAAACAAAACCUGGACCGAUACAGAGAAGAUUAGCAUGGUCCCUGAGCAAGGAUGACGUGAAAACUUGUGAAGCAUCCCAUUGAAAC
ensembl:snRNA LOC120094865 U6 spliceosomal RNA